rnacentral:rRNA from 1 species
AAUACGUAGGGACCAAGCGUUGUUCGGAUUUACUGGGCGUAAAGGGCGCGUAGGCGGCAAUUCAAGUCAGCUGUGAAAUCUCCGGGCUUAACUCGGAACGGUCAGCUGAUACUGUUUUGCUAGAGUGCAGAAGGGGCAAUCGGAAUUCUUGGUGUAGCGGUGAAAUGCGUAGAUAUCAAGAGGAACACCUGAGGUGAAGACGGGUUGCUGGGCUGACACUGACGCUGAAGCGCGAAAGCCAGGGGAGCAAACGGGA